rnacentral:rRNA from 1 species
GACGAACGCUGGCGGCGUGCUUAACACAUGCAAGUCGAACGGAAAGGCCCUGCUUUUGUGGGGUGCUCGAGUGGCGAACGGGUGAGUAACACGUGAGUAACCUGCCCUUGACUUUGGGAUAACUUCAGGAAACUGGGGCUAAUACCGGAUAGGAGCUCCUGCUGCAUGGUGGGGGUUGGAAAGUUUCGGCGGUUGGGGAUGGACUCGCGGCUUAUCAGCUUGUUGGUGGGGUAGUGGCUUACCAAGGCUUUGACGGGUAGCCGGCCUGGGAGGGUGACCGGCACAAUGGGACUGGGGUACGGCCCAAGAUCCUACGGGGGGGAGCAGGGGGGGAUAUUUGCCCAUGGGCCGAAGCCUUAAGCAGGAACGCCGGGUGCGGGAAGGCGGCCUUUGGGGUUGUAAACGGUUUUGCCUGGUAACGAGGCGUAGGGACCGGAAUUGGGUAAAGAAGAACCGCCUACCUACGG